rnacentral:rRNA from 1 species
UACGUAGGGGGCAAGCGUUGUCCGGAAUCAUUGGGCGUAAAGCGCGCGUAGGCGGCCAGAUUAGUCCGGUGUGAAAGUCAGAGGCUCAACCUUUGAAUGCCGCUGGAAACUGUCUGGCUUGAGUCCGGAAGGGGCGAGUGGAAUUCCUGGUGUAGCGGUGAAAUGCGCAGAUAUCAGGAGGAACACCAAUGGCGAAGGCAGCUCGCUGGAACGGUACUGACACUCAGGUGCGACAGCGUGGGGAGCAAACAGG